rnacentral:rRNA from 1 species
UAGAGUAAUGCGUGACCAACCUGCCCCAUGCUCCAGAAUAGCUCUUGGAAACGGGUGGUAAUGCUGGAUGCUCCAACUUGACGCAUGUCUUGUUGGGAAAGUGUUUAGUGGCAUGGGAUGGGGUCGCGUCCUAUCAGCUUGUAGGCGGGGUAAUGGCCCACCUAGGCUUCGACGGGUAGCCGGCCUGAGAGGGCGGACGGCCACAUUGGGACUGAGAUACGGCCCAGACUUCUACGGGAGGCAGCAGCU